CUUAUGAAUUACUGAAUAGCCUUCAAUUUUUUGGACAACAUUCAAUCCUUGCAUUAACUUUCCAUGCAUCCACCGAAAAGAAAGAGGCAGAAAUUGUGUUAUAUACCCUGUUCUUGCAAAACCAUGCGUACACUGUAGAUCCAGAGGGGGAUAUUUAUCAAGUGGUCUGCAACUGUCUUUGAAGUGAUCUGAGGAGUGAUGGUUUUCUUCCUGGUAAAUUAAACAGUUGUUCUAGUUUAGUACACCCCACAGAACCCUAAAGAUCAAACAGUUCUGCCACUAAUUUUACAAGGUUGGUAUUCAGAGAUUUAUUCUGUUCUGUCCUCUGUAUUCAGUCUCACAAUUGGUUAAUCAAUCAGAAGUUUGCCAGGCAUGCAUGAUGGACUUGGCAGCAGGCACGGUGUCUAGUUACUAUUUUGAAAUCUUGCCUAUCAAAAUCAUUUAUCCAGCCAUGGCCGGAUCAUUGG